CCGUCGAUAGCUCAGUUGGUAGAGCGGUGGACUGUAGAGUCAUAGGUCGCUGGUUCGAAUCCGGCUCGACGGA
rnacentral:tRNA from 1 species